GACGAACGCUGGCGGCGUGCUUAACACAUGCAAGUCGAACGAUGAACUUGGAGCUUGCUCUGGGGGAUUAGUGGCGAACGGGUGAGUAACACGUGAGUAACCUGCCCUGGACUCUGGGAUAACUUCGAGAAAUCGGAGCUAAUACCGGAUAGGACCUUGCACCGCAUGGUGUGGGGUGGAAAGUUUUUCGGUUUGGGAUGGACUCGCGGCCUAUCAGCUUGUUGGUGAGGUAAUGGCUCACCAAGGCGUCGACGGGUAGGCGGCCUGAGAGGGUGACCGGCCACACUGGGACUGAGACACAGCCCAGACUCCUACGGGAGGAAGCAGUGGGGAAGAUUGCACAAGGGGCGCAAGCCUGAUGCAGCAACGCCGCGUGCGGGAUGACGGCCUUCGGGUUGUAAACCGCUUUUAGUAGGGAAGAAGCCUUCGGGUGACGGUACCUGCAGAAAAAGGACCGGCUAACUACGUGCCAGCCGCCGCCGUAACAC
rnacentral:rRNA from 1 species